GUCAACUAAAAUAUUCUCUAAAAAAAAUGAAGGAAACAAAAUGUAAACUUAUUAUGAAUUUAUUUUAUUUUGAGGAAGGAAUGAAGAUAACCAUUAGAGAUAUCCUAAACUAAUAUGGAACUUACUAUAAAUAUGUUGUUAGUGUAUAAUAUGUACCAGGGGUGGAUGCACCCCAACUCUUUUUUAUUCUCUUCACUAAUUUACACUUUGUGUAAUGUCCUUGAUUAAAAAAUUAAACAGGAUGAAAAAUACCGUGUGCCUACUGUUCUACAUCCGCCCCUAAUAUCAGUGAUCAUAUAUAUGUGUACUAGUUAAUUUGAAAAUAAAAAUAAAGUUUUGCAGACAGAAUUUUAUGAAAUGUAAACACUACUCUUCUGUUG
rnacentral:lncRNA from 1 species